UACGUAGGGGGGCGAGCGUUUGUCCGGAUUCAUUGGGCGUAAAGAGCUCGUAGGCGGCUUGUUAAGUCUGUCGUGAAAUCUCCCGGCUUAACCGGGAUAGGUCGACGGAUACUGGCAGGCUUGAGGGGAGCAGAGGAAGGUGGAAUUCCCCGGUGUAGUGGUGAAAUGCGUAGAUAUCGGGAGGAACACCAGUGGCGAAGGCGGCCUUCUGAGCUCAACCUGACGCUGAUACGCGAAAGCGUGGGGAGCGAACCGG
rnacentral:rRNA from 1 species